UUUAUGUCAAAAAGUGGAUCAAGGCAGUGGAUUGUGAAUCCACCGUGCGCGGGUUCUUAAAGAUU
rnacentral:tRNA from 1 species